UACGAAGGGUGCAAACGUUGCUCGGAAUUAUUGGGCGUAAAGGGCGCGUAGGCGGUGCGGUAAGUCACCUGUGAAAUCUCCUGGCUCAACUGGGAGCUUGCAGGCGAAACUGCCGGGCUUGAGUGUGGGAGAGGUGAGUGGAAUUCCUGGUGUAGCGGUGAAAUGCGUAGAUAUCAGGAGGAACACCUGUGGCGAAAGCGGCUCACUGGACCAUAACUGACGCUGAUGCACGAAAGCUAGGGGAGCAAACAGG
rnacentral:rRNA from 1 species